rnacentral:lncRNA from 1 species
CUAGGCACUCAAACCUUAGCCCUCUCCUAACUCAGAAACUCAAGGGGUUCAAGCCUCCCAACCUCAUUCUGCCAUUCAACAUCACAAAAACCUAAUCCCCUUCUUUGAGCGAGAAAACCUAGAGGUAUCCACCCUGCCGCUCACGGAGUCACCACCGUCACAGCCUCCGAUCAAAAGGUCGCCGCUAGGAGCCGUCUACGGCGUCGCUGGCGCCUCCGCUGAAAGAGCCACCGCCCUUCACGCCGGACCACUCUCGUCCUUUAUUCUUCGCACGAACCAGCCCCAACUCUGAUGUCUCGCCGUUCCCGUCGCCUCCACUGAAAAUGGCCGCCGUCGCCUCCAAAUCACAAACCAGGGUCGCGCCGGCACGCGAAUCGCCGCCGGAGCUGCCGUCAUUCGAACCAAGGUGUCGCCGAUGACACCCGUCACCAACAGGACCUGUCCACGCGUAACAGGGUAGGACUGUAGCUCCACCGAGACAAGUCUCCACCACCACUAACGAAAUCAACCACCGUCGACGAAGAUGGCCACCGCUGCACUCGUCGGAGUUCGCCUCCUCAGCGGCGCCACCAGCGUCACUCUCCUCCCUCUCCAUUCGAAGAAUUCCUACUUGUCUCCUAAACGCCAAAAAAUCCCCAGCAACCCUCACCGCCACCGUCGAGGACGAAGGCAUUUUUUCUUGCUUUAUUAGUUAAUUUAUCGAUCAAUUGAUGUUUUGGUUUACUGGGAUUGGAAACAUUGGAGUGUAUGUUGGGCGCUAGAAAUUGAUCUUUGUUCCUGGUGAUUGGUUUUAUGGUUUUCUGGUGACAAUACUUAGAGUUCCAUAUGAUGGAGGGGAAUGGUAGGUUCUGUAUCUGUUUACAGGUUUGUGGUAAGGCUUCGUUUUCUAGGUAUAAGCAAAUGACAUUGAAACCCGAUGCUUGAAGAGUAUACGUUUAUUUCCUAUUGUCUUUUAUUUGAUGAAUUUUGUUGGCCUUGAAAAUAUAUUUUUGAUGCAGUUUUGAUUAACUCAGUAUGCCACGAAGAAGACGAAGGUAACUAUGUGCAGUGAUCAAAGAUCAUUCAUUCAUAUCCAGGGAAGACAAACCCCACUAUAUGCACUCAUCAAAUACCAUUCAUUCAUAUGCGGACAUAACACAGAGCAUGCAUUCAUAUAAAACUAAGAGCUUAGAUAUGGAGCCUUACCUUCGCAACUUUAAAAGCACUUGUGAAAGGAGCUGACGAAAGCGAAUUGUCUUCCCCUCCUUUGGCCAUGAGGUCCCUUCCUACCAGGUAAUGAUGAUCAGUGACCGUCUAGCGUCUCCAAUGUUUUGGUGAUGGUCAGGUGCUUUUUCGGAUGAAUAAUGUUGUUUUUCUUUUUUCUCGCAAUGGUGAAUAAUAAUCCUCAAUUCCCUCCAGCCUGGUAAAGGAAAUUAUAUCCCCUGAAUAAUCAAUCUCGUCCCCUUUUAGGAAACUAAUUUCCAUCCCAAGAAAAACGUUCCUCUGUUUCCUUUCUGGAUAAUCCGGGCGUAUCCUCAAGUAUUUCCUCCUUAUUACUUUCUUCCUUUUAUGUUUCAAUUGGAUCAAUUAAGGAAACGAUUUGAAAAUCCUUCCCCCUUUGGUAACUGACUGCAGCUAAUUGGUAUCCGAUUGCAGCUAAUUGGUAUCUGAUUGCAGCUAAUUGGUAUCCGAUUGCACCAGUGUGUAAAGAUUUUCCUGAUCUGGACUGUGAUAUUUUGCAGAAAGAGAACCAAUCUUUCGCUUCACUUACUUUUUUUUUUAUUUUUUUAUUAUUUUUUUUAGAGACUAAAUAAAAUACAAUACAAAUAAACUAAAAUAAAAUAAAAUAAAAAUUAGAAUAAAGUAACGUACAAGAAAAAUAAAAUAAAAGUAGAUAUAAAAUAAAAUAAAGUAUAAUUAACAUAAUGUGAGAAUAAAAUAAACUAAUGCAAUGAUAAUGAAAUAUAACAAAAGAACAAGUAAAAUUAAAUUAAAAUACGUG